ACGGCACUGAUGGGAACCAACCGAACAAGCAGCCGUCUGUAACGGAGAGCCCUGGGCUGCCCUCAAGGCAAAGGGGGAUGCCAGACACCACAACCUCGAGCAGCCAGCCAAGCACCGCCUCCCCGCUGCUGUUAGCCGUGCUGAAGUGCCAACCAGCCUCAUCUCCCGGACGCCUCACCCAGGCACCGAAGCUGCUGCCACACCGCAUUAAAUCAGCGCCCUGACAGCCGGGCAGGACGGGGGUCCCGGCCCCGGUCCCACCGCCCCGGGCGCUGAGCAGGCAGCAGCUGCAAUAAAUGGCGAUGGGCAACCAA